rnacentral:tRNA from 1 species
GGAGAUAUAGCUCAGUGGCAGAGAACUUGGCUAGCAUGCAGGAGGACCUGAGUUCAGUUCCCAGUGUCUGCA